rnacentral:rRNA from 1 species
UACGAAGGGUGCAAGCGUUAAUCGGAAUUAUUGGGCGUAAAGCGCGCGCAGGCGGUCCUUUAAGUCUGAUGUGAAAGCCCACGGCUCAACCGUGGAGGGUCAUUGGAAACUGGGGGACUUGAGUACAGAAGAGAAGAGUGGAAUUCCACGUGUAGCAGUGAAAUGCGUAGAUAUGCGGAGGAACACCGAUGGCGAAGGCAAUCCCCUGGACCUGUACUGACGCUCAUGCACGAAAGGCAUGGGGAGCGAACAGG